UGCGUAGGCGGUUUGAUAAGUCAGCUGUGAAAUUCCCCGGCUUAACCGGCGGGACUGCGAUUGAUACUGUCAAACUUGAAUCAGGUUGAGGUAGGCGGAAUGUGGCAUGUAGCGGUGAAAUGCAUAGAUAUGCCAUAGAACACCGAUUGCGAAGGCAGCUUGCUGGACCUUGAUUGACGCUGAGGCACGAAAGCGUGGGGAGCGAACAGGAUUAGAUACCCUGGUAGUCC
rnacentral:rRNA from 1 species